UACGUAGGUGACAAGCGUUGUCCGGACUUACUGGGCGUAAAGAGCGCGCAGGCGGUCGAUCAAGUCGAGUGUGAAAGCCCCCGGCUCAACUGGGGAGGGUCAUUCGAUACUGAUCGACUCGAAGGCAGGAGAGGGUAGUGGAAUUCCCGGUGUAGUGGUGAAAUGUGUAGAUAUCGGGAGGAACACCAGUGGCGAAGGCGACUACCUGGCCUGUUCUUGACGCUGAGGCGCGAAAGCUAGGGGAGCAAACGGG
rnacentral:rRNA from 1 species